GUGAGUAGUUCAGAGUUUGAUCCUGGCUCAGGACGAACGCCUGGCGGCGUGCCUAACACAUGCAAGUCGAACGGAGUUAAGUUUUCGGAUUUAACUUAGUGGCGAACGGGUGAGUAACGCGUGAGGAACCUGCCUUUCAGUGGGGGACAACAGUUGGAAACGACUGCUAAUACCGCAUAAUACUAUCGAGUGGCAUCACUUGGUAGUCAAAGCUUUAUGUGCUGAAAGAUGGCCUCGCGUCUGAUUAGAUAGUUGGUGGGGUAACGGCCUACCAAGUCGACGAUCAGUAGCCGGACUGAGAGGUUGAACGGCCACAUUGGGACUGAGAUACGGCCCAG
rnacentral:rRNA from 1 species